AUGCUUUCACCAAACUUUGCAUCUGCUGCUUCUUACCCGUCUUUAUCAGCAUACAUUGGCUUCAAUGGAAGGAAACUCGAUGGCCUAGUUCACACUUCUGUUUCUAUUGAAGAGUUACUUGAGGCAGAUGAAAAUACCAGGAUUGAAGAAAGUAAUGAUUCUAAUGAAUAUGACCUACUCAAUCAGACAAAACUUUAUGGCAUUUGUCAAUGA